AUUGAACGCUGGCGGAAUGCUUUACACAUGCAAGUCGCGCGGCAGCGCGGGGCAACCUGGCGGCGAGCGGCGAACGGGUGAGUAAUACACCUGAACGUACACAGUUGUUGGGGAUAGCUCGGCGAAAGCCGGAUUAAUACCGCAUACGCCCUGAGGGUGGAAGUGGGGGAUCGCACGGCCUCACGCAGUGUGAGCGGCCGAUGGAGGAUUAGCUAGUUGGUAGGGUAAAGGCCUACCAAGGCGACGAUCCGUAGCCGGUCUGAGAGGCAGACCCGCCACACUGGAACUGAGACACGGUCCAGACUCCUACGGGAGGCAGCAGUGGGGAAUUUUGGACAAUGGGGGCAACCCUGAUCCAGCCAUUCCGCGUGAGUGAAGAAGGCCUUCGGGUUGUAAAGCUCUUUCGGCAGGAACGAAACGGCGGACUCUAAUAUAGCCUGCUAAUGACGGUACCUGAAGAAGAAGCACCGGCUAACUACGUGCCAGCAGCCGCGGUAACAC
rnacentral:rRNA from 1 species